rnacentral:rRNA from 1 species
GCAUAUCAAUAAGCCGGAGGA